rnacentral:rRNA from 1 species
UGGGGAAUAUUGCACAAUGGGCGCAAGCCUGAUGCAGCCAUGCCACGUGUAUGAAGAAGGCCUUCGGGUUGUAAAGUACUUUCAGCGGGGAGGAAGGGAGUAAAGUUAAUACCUUUGCUCAUUGACGUUACCCGCAGAAGAAGCACCGGCUAACUCCGUGCCAGCAGCCGCGGUAAUACGGAGGGUGCAAGCGUUAAUCGGAAUUACUGGGCGUAAAGCGCACGCAGGCGGUUUGUUAAGUCAGAUGUGAAAUCCCCGGGCUCAACCUGGGAACUGCAUCUGAUACUGGCAAGCUUGAGUCUCGUAGAGGGGGGUAGAAUUCCAGGUGUAGCGGUGAAAUGCGUAGAGAUCUGGAGGAAUACCGGUGGCGAAGGCGGCCCCCUGGACGAAGACUGACGCUCAGGUGCGAAAGCGUGGGGAGCAAACAGG